GUAGGUGAACCUGCGGAAGGAUCUUUGAAUCUAAUCAAAUCCACACACGUGAACUAACCUGUUGGCCAUCCGGGUCUCGCAUCCGGAUUGAGAUGGGUGUAGGUUGAAAAGCCUGUGCCUGCCUCAGUCGCUGCAUCCAUGGAAAUGGCUGCGGCGUCGGUCUUUGUCUAACCAACCAACACCAAACUUAACUAUAAAUAAUAUCGAGGGAUCAGCUUAGAGCUGGCUCUCAUAAACCAAGACAACUCUCAACAACGGAUAUCUUGGCUCUCAGAUCGAUGAAGAACGCAGCGAAAUGCGAUACGUAGUGUGAAUUGCAGAAAUACGUGAAUCAUCGAAUCUUUGAACGCAAAUUGCGCUCGAGGCUUCGGCCAAGAGCAUGUCUGCCUCAGCGUCGGGUUAAUACUCAUAUGCGCAUUCCCCGCCAGGAGUGUGUGUAUGGAGCUGACUGUCUCGGUGUAUGCCCUCUUCCGGGAGGUGUGUGAGCCGGGUCAGUUGAAGUGCAGAUGUCAAAGCAUGGACCGUUAAUCGGGCCUCUACUGGGUAGGCAACUCGUUUGCUGAAAUGCUUUAGUAGAUGGCUUGGGUACUGUCUUUGGCACAAAACAGGAGUACCUGUUCAUUCAGGUACAACCAAUACCAUUUUCUCGACCUGAGCUCAGGCAAGAUUACCCGCUGAACUUAA
rnacentral:rRNA from 1 species